rnacentral:rRNA from 1 species
GAAUCUUAGACAAUGGGGGCAACCCUGAUCUAGCCAUGCCGCGUGUGUGACGAAGGCCCUAGGGUCGUAAAGCACUUUCGCCGGGGAAGAUAAUGACGGUACCCGGUAAAGAAGUCCCGGCUAACUCCGUGCCAGCAGCCGCGGUAAUACGGAGGGGACUAGCGUUGUUCGGAAUUACGGGGCGUAAAGCGCGCGUAGGCGGAUUACUAAGUCAGGGGUGAAAUCCCGGGGCUCAACCCCGGAACUGCCCUUGAUACUGGUAGUCUGGAGUUCUGGAGAGGUGAGUGGAAUUCCGAGUGUAGAGGUGAAAUUCGUAGAUAUUCGGAGGAACACCAGUGGCGAAGGCGGCUCACUGGCCAGAUACUGACGCUGAGGUGCGAAAGUGUGGGGAGCAAACAGG